UCCCCUCUUCUUUUCCUUUUUCUUCCCCCUCACGCAUUCUCCAUUUCUACUGUAGCACCCCGUCCUUCUUUCACCUCCAUUUAUUUGCUUUCAUUUUCUAUAGCUUCAUCACCCACUUGACUCACCAUCAUCCUCACCAUUGCACGCCAUCCGCUCAAGCCGAGCACCCUUGGCUUUGAGCUCAACUUCAACGAACCGUCACCGUUCGAGUUGCAAGCCUUGUGAUUUCGUCGCCGUCAUGCCGCCGGCACAGGAAGUGCGUGGUUCUAGCAUUGGUCCCUAGAUGGAGGAAUGCCAGGUCGUGUACAGGGGUCUACAGGAAGGGAAGUGUAGGUUUCUCACAAUAUUCUCUCAUGUGGUGACGGGUCUUCUGUCAAGGCUGGAUGAUAAGUGACAGUUCACCCUACAGAGGUCGAGAAGUAUGAUAGUAUAAUAGCGAACUUGUAAAUGGAAGCUUAGCGCAUAGGUAGCCGAAUAGCUUCACUUUUAUAUUAGACCUUGGGUGUUAAACUGGUCUGUAUAUAAGUACUACUGUAUUGUAGGUGUGGUUUGUGAAAAUAUUAUUCUACGUUUCUAUCCCACUGUUAUGUUGUAUGGA